GUGAGGAAUAUUGGACAAUGGGCGCAAGCCUGAUCCAGCCAUGCCGCGUGCAGGAAGACGCAUCUAUGGUGUGUAAACUGCUUUUGUACGGGAAGAAACACUCCCUCGUGAGGGAGCUUGACGGUACCGUAAGAAUAAGGAUCGGCUAACUCCGUGCCAGCAGCCGCGGUAAUACGGAGGAUCCAAGCGUUAUCCGGAAUCAUUGGGUUUAAAGGGUCCGUAGGCGGUUUAAUAAGUCAGUGGUGAAAGCCCAUCGCUCAACGAUGGAACGGCCAUUGAUACUGUUAGACGUGAAUUACAAGGAAGUAACUAGAAUAUGUAGUGUAGCGGUGAAAUGCUUAGAUAUUACAUGGAAUACCAAUUGCGAAGGCAGGUUACUACUUGUGGAUUGACGCUGAUGGACGAAAGCGUGGGGAGCGAACAGGAUUAGAUACCCUGGUAGUCC
rnacentral:rRNA from 1 species